CAGUAGCCGCGGUAAUACGAAGGGGGCUAGCGUUGCUCGGAAUUACUGGGCGUAAAGGGCGCGUAGGCGGACAGUUCGGUCAGGGGUGAAAGCCCGGGGCUCAACCUCGGAAUUGCCUUUGAUACUGGCUGUCUUGAGUACGGGAGAGGUGUGUGGAACUCCGAGUGUAGAGGUGAAAUUCGUAGAUAUUCGGAAGAACACCAGUGGCGAAGGCGACACACUGGCCCGUUACUGACGCUGAUGCGCGAAAGCGUGGGGAGCAAACAGGAUUAGAUACCCCAGUAGUCCCUGUCUCUUAUAC
rnacentral:rRNA from 1 species